GACGAACGCUGGCGGCGUGCUUAACACAUGCAAGUCGAACGGAAAGGCCCAGCUUGCUGGGUACUCGAGUGGCGAACGGGUGAGUAACACGUGGGUGAUCUGCCCUGCACUCUGGGAUAAGCCUGGGAAACUGGGUCUAAUACCGGAUAUGAUCAACUGUCGCAUGGUGGUUGGUGGAAAGCUUUUGCGGUGUGGGAUGGGCCCGCGGCCUAUCAGCUUUUUGGUGGGGUAAUGGCCUACCAAGGCGACGCCGGGUAGCCGACCUGAGAGGGUGAUCGGCCACACUGGGACUGAGACACGGCCCAGGCUCCUACGGGGGGCAGCAGUGGGGAAUAUUGCACAAUGGGCGCAAGCCUGGUGCAGCGACGCCGCGUGAGGGAUGACGGCCUUCGGGUUGUAAACCUCUUUCACCAGGGACGAAGCGUGAGUGACGGUACCUGGAGAAGAAGCACCGGCCAACUACGUGCCAGCCGCCGCAGUAA
rnacentral:rRNA from 1 species